GAGUUCAUGCCCGAAAGGGUAGACCUCCCACCCUUGUGUAUUAUUACUUUGUUGCUUUGGCGAGCAUACAAGGCCCGAAGGCAGCUCGCCAGAGAAAACCAAAACUCUUUUUAUUAAUGUCGUCUGAGUACUAUAUAAUAGUUAAAACUUUCAACAACGGAUCUCUUGGUUUU
rnacentral:misc_RNA from 1 species